GACGAACGCUGGCGGCGUGCUUAACACAUGCAAGUCGAACGGAAAGGCCCUGCUUUUGUGGGGUGCUCGAGUUGCGAACGGGUGAGUAACACGUGAGUAACCUGCCCUUGACUUUGGGAUAACUUCAGGAAACUGGGGCUAAUACCGGAUAGUAGCUCCUCCUGCAUUGUGGGGGUUGGAAAGUUUCGGCGGUUGGGGAUGGACUCGCGGCUUAUCAGCUUGUUGGUGGGGUAGUGGCUUACCAAGGCUUUGACGGGUAGCCGGCCUGAGAGGGUGACCGGCCACAUUGGGACUGAGAUACGGCCCAGACUCCUACGGGAGGCAGCAGUGGGGAAUAUUGCACGAUGGGCGGAAGCCUGAUGCAGCACCGCCGCGUGCGGGAUGACGGCCUUCGGGUUGUAAACCGCUUUCGCCUGUGACGAAGCGUGAGUGACGGUAAUGGGUAAAGAAGCACCGGCUAACUACGUG
rnacentral:rRNA from 1 species